UAUGCAGUGAUGAGAUAAAGCACCAUUGGAGGUGUAAUAGGGCAGUGGAGAAAACCUCUCCGUGAGCCUAUUUAAUUAACGACUUCUCCUUCCACUGAGCAUC